GGGAAUCAACAAACUAGUCUUCAAAGUUGACUCGCACACACUCACACUCCUCCGGCUGGAUUGUUCAGAACCUAGUGACGCCCCUGGCAUGUAGGCCCCGGUUUGCUGGCCGCAAUGAGAGUUGCAGUGAUUGCACUCAGCCAGCAGAGGUCGCCCUCACCCCCAACUGGGCAUCAAAGUAUGAGUAGUUAUCACUUUGUGGGCGACUCCUGUGUUACCUCUGUGCCAGGGGAGGAUGCCAUACUGAGACACAAAUCUUCACACUCUCUCCAGGCAUUUGUUUGAUUAAUAUUCAUCAUAUACACCUUUUAAUAAUGAAUACAGAAUUUGUAAUUACUAUAAAGUUUUCUUCAACUCCCGCACAUCUACUUUCCCCCAGACAUUUCACUUAAGGCAGCAUUGCUAGACAAAAGCCUGCUGGCCUUCAUCAAUAAUGGAUAUUUGUGUGUUUUCCUGCUAAUUGGGACUAAAAUUUGACAAAAACCCAGGAUUUAUUGUGCUUCUUUAUAAAUAGAAUACAAAGUUGGAGCUUUGGCGGAGAGGAGCAAACUUCAUGGAAGUCCGAUGAGAGGAAGAGCGGUGUCAAAUCCACUCAAAUGUCCUGCAAGC